rnacentral:lncRNA from 1 species
GCCAGAUGGGGGAUCUGGGGAACAGGUCCUCUGCUUUCUGGGAAAAUAGAGGAGAGUCUCCGAGUCUGGGCCUUGCCACUCCUCACUCAGCAUCUGACCAUCCCCACCUCCUGGAUCUACAGGGUUCAUAGAGGAGGACCCAGAAGAGGGAAAGUCAGGCUGAGGAACUUGGCCUCCCUGCUGCAAGGGAAAUGACAUCGGUUACCAAGGAGGUGACCAGCUAUCCUUUUCCAAGACUGAAAAGCAGAAAUACGGCCCUGAGGCUAGAGGGUCUAAGAGAACAAUAGGAAGAAUUUCCUGACAAAGGACAAUGUUGCCUAAAGGACUCAGGAAGCUCUGUGAAAACAGGAGACUCCCGAGCAGAGCACCAGACCCUUCUCCACCAGGCAGUGUUUUUCCCAUAUGACAGGUGAGAAAACUGAGGCUGAGAGACAUGUAAUAACUUGCUGAAGCAGCAACCAGCACACCAUAUAGCUGAAAUCUGUAGAUCAGCAGUUAAAAGUGGUAGGGCAAGUCCUCUCUGACUUUCAGCGCUAAGAGCCUAGGAUUCUGUGUUUUUCUGCUUAAGCCUGGGAAUCAGAGUCCUACAAAAGCCGCGCCUAAUCCUGGGGGUGUGGGCUUUAAACCCAGAGAGAAAGCAUGUUAUUGGAAUACUCCUGCACUUUUCUCCCUUUGAAUCCCACCACGGAAAGAAAAUUCUGUGACGUGUACCCAGUAUUUAUUGGAGGGUAUUUCCUAGCAAGAAAAUGAGGGCGAUUGACCAGGCACGGUGGCUCACGCCUGUAAUCCCAGCACUUUGGGAGGUCAAGGUGAGUGGAUCACAUGAGGUCAGGAGUUCGAGACCAGCCUGACCAACA